AAAGUCUACAAUGAAAGCUACUCUGUUCUGGUAGAGGUUUUUUUUUAGUUCCUGCCCCCAUUGUUUUCAUUGUUGAGGGUUUCUCCAAUCAUCGAUUUCAUUGUUGAAUUUUUUUUAGUUCCUGCCCCCAUUGUUUUCAUUGUUGAGGGUUUCUCCAAUCAUCGAUUUCAUUGUUGAAUUUUCUAAUAAGGGUUCUAGUUUUUGGCUGUAGGGUUUCUGAUUUGGUAUUCAUGUGAUUUGUCUGCAGUCUGCUUUUUGACUGAAGAAACAUUGUUUCAAUGCAUCGUUCUUUUUAGUUCCUGGAAUUUUUAAUGUGAUUAAUGUUGAGGGUGAAAGCAGAAUCUUCUAUGCUGCCUAUGCUUGAAUAUGUGAAGAUUUUCUGCUCAAAUUGAAGGAUAUGGUACACCCAUUAAAGUUUGAUGCACCGAUUAAAGCGGUCACUUUAUUCAUAUUCGUUUGUUUUAAUGUGAGGUUGAUACACCCGUUAAUGUUUUUCUUGGUUUAUUAAGCUAUGGACAAUUUUGUUCAUGUACUCGUCUUCAUAUAUAAAAGUAUGAAGUUGUUCACUACAAUCUAUGAAAUUGAUUUCCUUACCAUCCAAUCCAUGGCAAGUUUGCCCAAGGUCCCCAAAACUAAGAAAGCUGAUGAAUUUUCCCUUUCCAUGCAAUCCAUGGCAAGUUCGUCCAAGGUCCCCAAAACUGAGAAAGUUGAUGAUGGCGGGUCCAGGGAAAUAGAGUUGCCUUCUGAGCCUUUGCCCAAAGGUUGGGAACAAUGUCUGGAUAUUAAGCAUAUCUCAUUUACAAGAUUUCUGGAUCGCAAAGCACAUUGAGCAUUGGUAGCAUCUAAUUACGCAACACAUAAAGGCUCACUUAACACAUGGACCCUAGCCGAGCAACGUCAUUUGGAUUAGUGUCUUCCAAGGAACAUCAUUUGCCCAAAAAACAAUCUUCCAUACAUGUCCAUUGCAGUCAGCCAGAUGCUCAUAGCUUACAAGAGCACCUUGGAAAACAGUGCCAUGUCGAUCAACUCAAAGGAAAAGACAACCCUUGCAGCACCCUCGCUACACAAGCAAGUCAUACCAAUCAAAGGAGCUCUACCAAGGUCGAAUACAAUAAGCAAAAUAGCACUCCUUCACACGAGCACAUACGGAAACGAUGCCUCACCAACAUGGAAGCCAGUGCACCGGAUGCCACCUCUCCACAACAACACACAAUAAAAUGGCAAAUUAGCAACAUUGAACAACAAAACUUCACCCCUGUCAAAAUGGAGCCGCACAAAAUUGAACAUAAAAAAGGUCAACAGAUGGAUUCUUCCAAGCAGCACAAUCCCAAUGCACAUUCCACCAAACAGCAAAAUCCCAAUCCACGGCCACAUACAAGCAAGAGCAAGAGAGUGGUGCUGAAGCCCUGCAUAUAAGCAAAUGGUAAAAAUGCCCAACGUACCAACUCCAACCUCUGAAACAACAAACAACGCCAUCUUCCAGACAUGCUCCACAAACUAGCCAUUCAAGCCACAGGGCAUUUACUUAGACAUUGGCGAUUGACUUGAGAUAACACUUAAUUUUGGAGCAAGUUGAGCUUUUCAACAUGUACUUUGCAAGAUAAUACAACAUCGGGGUAAAGAUUACGUUGCCAAUAUUUUUGUUUGCCUUCAAUUUUUGUCUGGAUCAAUCAAUCAUAUUCUCCAACCUGGUUAAACAGCUUUUGGGUGCAUGUUUAAAGGCUUUUCUCUCAAAGUUUAUUGAUACCCACAUCACUUUUCAUCUGUAUUUGAAAACAGGCAUGCACAUUUCUUAUACAAGAAUAGUUUACCAACUGUAAGUUCUAGAAAUGGAAUCUUUCUUUUGAAAU